rnacentral:rRNA from 1 species
UACGUAGGGCGCAAGCGUUAUCCGGAAUUAUUGGGCGUAAAGAGCUCGUAGGUGGUUUGUCGCGUUGUUCGUGAAAACUCACGACUCAAUUGUGGGCGUGCGGGCGAUACGGGCAGACUGGAGUACUGCAGGGGAGACUGGAAUUCCUGGUGUAGCGGUGGAAUGCGUAGAGAUCCGGAAGAACACCGGUGGCGAAGGCGGUCUGCUGGGCAGUAGCUGACACUGAGGCGCGACAGCGUGGGGAGCAAACAGG